AAAAAUAGGAAAACAAUGUAAAAUGGUGGAUUCUUUAACCAGGUAAUAUGCCAUUUCCAAUUGUAUCUUUUGUGGGGAAUCUUUUCAAACAAUUUAAACCAUGCAUUAAAAUAGAAUCAUAAUGAAUGAAACAAAAUAAUGGUAAUCAUACACACACAACUGCAAAUAGUCAGACCCAAGAUUCAACCCUAAACCAUGCAACAGACCUUCAAGAUUCAUGGUUACUAAAUUAAUUACAAUUACUAUUUUUCACAAAUAUAUGUAUUUGAGAUGGCAAAACAAAUCCAAAUAUAGUAGCGCCUCUAGUAGUGUAUUAGUAAAAGAUUCAUUAACUUCAUGGAGUUUGAAAAUACCAAAUAUAGCAGACAUAAAAAUAACAUGAGAUUUGAAAACCCAAGUUCAAAUGCCUAUUUGUAACUUCAAGCAAAAUAUGUGCAAUAUGAAACCUGCAAGUAUUUCACUUGCAGUUAAGCAUCUAAAAAGGGUGAAUGAUUUAAAAUUGGAAGCUUAUAACAAUGUAGGAUAAUCAUUAACAUUGUAUCAAGAUAGAAAGUUCACCCAUGUUACCUGUUAACCACAUAUCAUCACGAAGGUCACAUUCACUUGAUAUAUUUGUUCUUGCUAUUCAUUUCCACGCUCUUAGUUUGUGAAUUACAUCCAACAUUAUUCUAACUUCAACAUAAUAUGUUUUGCAAAGAAUUUUACGACACCACUUUGUCUGCACUUGAGAAACCAAAAUAAGAGAUUAAGGGUAUAUAGCAAAGUAUGAUUUACCAAGAUAAUUGGGAAAACCAUAUACAAAAAUAGACUACACGAUUAAAAGAAAAAUAGAGGAUUUUGAAUAUUAACAUUCUCAAGUAUAAAUGCAACAAAAAGUGAGUUCUAGAUAUGAUUAUGAACCUCUUUAGACUAAUCAACUUUGGGUGUAACUCCAUUGUGAGAUUCUACCUGUGACAACCAAAAAGGAGAAAAUAAGCAUAAAUGAUAGAUAAUUAGAGAUUGGUUUUUGGAAUUGGACUGAAACUGAAUACAUAUUGCAAGGAAGAUUAACUUGACCUUAAACUUUCAACUANNNNNNNNNNNNNNNNNNNNNNNNNNNNNNNNNNNNNNNNNNNNNNNNNNNNNNNNAGAUGCUAUUCUCAAUCCCUUCUAUCCCUUUCUUUCUUUUAGUUGAUAAUUUGAAAUUAUAUUAAAAAGAAGUUGCUAUCAAUAUGGGUAACUUGAGAAGAAACAGGAACCGAUAUUCUCCAAUAAUUCAAACUGAUUUAAAAUUAAAUAGUCCUUGAUCCAAACUAUUCAAAAUAGCAUCUCACAAUUAAAUAAAAGUAUGCUCAUACAAACUGAUCCAACAGAUAAACAAAUAAGCAUUAAAUUUUCUAAUUUGUGAUCAAUAAAAUAUCAAAUCCUUCAGAUUUUGGAGGAUGCAGACCAUCCUCUUCACUAUUUCAUGUAUAAGUAUAACAAUAACAAUAGUUAUUGGUGGAGAAAGAUAACAUUAAAUGAAGGAAUAUUACUCCCAUAUUUGGUAACUACAAAUACCAUGAAUCAUGAAUAUAAUAAAAAAAACUACAAACAUUGCUACUUUCAAAGACAAAAUUCCAGAAAACAAAUCAUGAAAAUAAGGGAGAGAGAAUAUCUACCUCCAAUUUCAUCAAUUUAAGCUAAUACUGAUGUGAUGUCUCUACCAAAAAAAACUAAUAUUGAUGAAUGAUAUACCUUUUUCCUCAAAUUCAUGAGUAGCAGUCUCUAAUUGGACAUAAAAAAAAACUAUGUGAGAAAUGAAGAAGCAACUAAAUACUACUAAAAUCAGAUUAUAAUAUUCACAAAAACUGAAAUGAAACCUAACUCAGAAGGGAAAAAUUGAAAAUUCAAAGUUCAGAAAACUUACCCAAUCAAACCCUAAUUUGUGAACCUGAACAAACAAUAAAACAUUGCAAGAAAAAAAAAAUCAAAAUUAGAAUAUAAAAUCAAAUCAUGAAAUAAGGAAGGGAUUAAGAAGCAAGUUGAAACCUUUCCAUUUGAUGAAGCCACUGGAGGGGGAUGAAAGUGACGGCAGAGAAGGUGUUGGUGGUGGUGAAGAUAUCAGAGAGGAUGGGAGAGAGCUGAUGAGAGAAGAAUUGAAAUCUAUGAGAAAGAAAGUGAGUUAUGAUAUUGAAGAGAGGGAGAAUUUGAAAUUUGAAAUUGAUUCCAACCUAAUUGAAGUUUUUGAAUUCUAGUCUGUAAAUCUGCAAUAUUGAAAGGGACAGCUCAAGGAAGGUCUUCUUCUUGCUUCUCUGUUUUUCUUUUGAACAAAUUUGAUUUCAAAAUUGUUUGCCAAAAGGAGUAGAGAACUUCUGCAACGCGACACAAUGAAAAGGACGG
rnacentral:lncRNA from 1 species